ensembl:lncRNA
GUCUCUGUGCUUUCCCAGGCAGGAGCGUUGUGGCGAGGCCAGUGUCUUACCACCCAGGCUCUGCAAGGACCAAGAUAACGGCAAAAAUGAGGCCAGCAGAGAUGACCAUCUUUACAGACUCCCACGGCACCCAGCAUGACCCAUUAAAAAUCAGCUCCAGACCGGGCGGAAGAAAAACCUACUGCCAAAAAGGGAAUAAAACUGUUUCCCACCCCCUGCUUGGCCGUGAAAAUGCUUCCAAAGAAGAGGCAAGAGGCCAAAUGAAGACUCUCUAGGUAACUUGCUGGCUUGAACCACGUGUGCAGAAGCUUGAAAUGUCAUCUGUGCCUGGCUCUCUCAUUUCUGACUGCUGGUGCAUGGUGGUAUCCUCUGGAGUCAGAGGGCUCAUGGUCUUCUGCAAUGAGACCUCUUGGUUGCUCACUGUGCCCUGUGAGGAGUCCCCACAUGUCAUUCCUCUUUGAGCACUGUGUGCCCGUAGCAGAG